GUCCUCUUCAACCAAUAUUCGAUGAUGGAUUCUCCAACUUUGUGGAUCCGAUGACUCCAGCUGACCACGACCACCACCUCUGGCAUCCAUUGUUUCUUUGACAUAAAUUUCUUUUUUAUUUUCUUUGCACUCUAACUCUCUGACAAUGUCGUCAGAGUAUGACUACCCUACUUCCCUAAUUAGAUGAUCGUUGGACCUUCUCUUCACCAAUGGCCAUGUCUUUCUUCCCCUCAAAUCCUAGCUACCACUUCACCAAAAAAAAAAACCCAGCCACCAUCUUCUCCAUAGUUG
rnacentral:lncRNA from 1 species